rnacentral:rRNA from 1 species
GAUGAACGCUGGCGGCGUGCCUAAUACAUGCAAGUCGAGCGAACAGACGAGAGUGCUUGCACUCUCUGACGUUAGCGGCGGACGUGUGAGUAACACGUGGGUAACCUACCUAUAAGACUGGGAUAACUUCGGGAAACCGGAGCUAAUACCGGAUAAUAUUUAGCUUCGCAUGAAGCAAUAGUGAAAGACGGUUCUGCUGUCACUUAUAGAUGGACCCGCGGUGUAUUAGCUAGUUGGUGAGGUAACGGCUCACCAAGGCAACGAUACAUAGCCGACCUGAGAGGGUGAUCGGCCACACUGGGACUGAGACACGGCCCAGACUCCUACGGGAGGCAGCAGUAGGGAAUCUUCCGCAGUGGACGAAAGUCUGACGGAGCAAUGCCGCGUGAGUGAAGAAGGUUUUCGGAUCGUAAAACUCUGUUGUAAGGGAAGAACAAGUACGUUAGUAACUGAACGUACCUUGACGGUACCUUACCAGAAAGCCACGGCUAACUACGUG